UUCAUGAAAGUUUUAGUAUAUUGUCUUAGCUUUAAUUUCCAGUUGGUUUCACACCAAUUGGAGUUAUGUAUCUCAAGUUAUAAACUUUGAUUCUUCUUCUUUCUCUUUCCAGGCUAAAAUUCCUUCUCUCUCUUAUCCUCCAAAUUUCCUUGAUUUCUUAAUUAUUUUCUUCAAAUUAAGGGUUGUCACCAAAUUUUCUAUCACUUUCCUAAUAAAACUAUGGGAGAAUCAUGUGUUGAAAGCUUGGAUAGAAG
rnacentral:misc_RNA from 1 species